UCAGCACGAGCUGCCAGGUUUCCUUUGCCCCUUCUGCACAACAGAGAGGGACAUUUCUUUUUCUUCUUUGGAGGUGUGUGCAUUUCAAUAGUACACCAUCAUUUGUUUGGGUUCUUUUUCUUUUCUUCAGUUAAUUCUUUUUUAGGGUGAGAAGGUCAAAUUCUUAAUGACAAACUAUACAGAAGGAGUUGUGUGAGCUGGUGGAUACAACAGCAGCUAAGAGCUGUCAGCCAGCCAUAAAAACUGACAUGUGAUACUUCGUACUUUAAGAGCAAUUUACAUCUUCUAAGGACCAUACUAUAUAAACACGAAUUAAUCUCUAAUUAACUUAUCUAUAUGUAUUAGCCAAUUAAUCUCUAAUUAGUUUAUUUGCAGAUUCUUUCACAUUGGGAACUAAUUUAGGUAAGGCGUAAACCUCCUGGGACCAGUUCUGAUCUCUCAAAGAGGUGUAAGUCAGGAGGAUGUAUAAAUCCAUUCUAAUGCAGUCAUAGGGAUACAGCAGUGAAGAACUGCUCCAAGGAAUGUAUAAAUACGGCUCUUUGUGAGUUCAGAGAGAGAUGCUAUGCAGUGGUGAGAAACGACAUCAAAAUGCUCAGCAUUAAUUAGACAAUGUUGAUGGGGUUUGAUUACAGAAUUUGGUUAUUUUUAAAAUUUAUUGCUUCAUAGGGUGGCAUAUUACUAGAGGAUUAAAAGUAUUAAAAGGAGUGUACAAUAGUGACUACCAAGCCUGAGCUGGCAAACUUAGUGCUACUGCACCUGUUAUGUGUAGAGCUCAGUGAUGGGAGGAGAGUGGGGAAGGAAAAAACAUCAUGGCUGAAAAUACCCUUCAGAGUGAUACUUCAAUGCACCUUUGGCCUAAUGGUCCCAGGUCUUAAGCUCAGCUGUGUUUUAAAAUGAUAGAAAUAAAAUCAUGUCUGGUUUUCAGGGCUGGCAAAGGCGCUGUGUGUUUUGCAGUUACCUGGUCUCUAGACUGCUGUGUGGGUAGAUAGGAGGGGAGCAGCUAAUUUCUCCAGCAUUUGAAGAGUUGUAACUCAUUUGGCUGGGUCCAUGGUGCCCACUUCCAAUUUUCUUUGCUGUGUACAGGGUAGUGUCACUAUUCACAGCUCACCACAGUGGUGGCACUGCAAGGACAGCCUGGCUGUGCCCUGGAUAUGUCCCCUUUGGAGCAGGCAGGAGCCAGUGUGCAAGCAGAAGGGAGCAAAGGUGCUGCAGCUCUAGCUCCUGAGGAUUCCUUGCUUUGUGUCUUUGGGUCACAAAAUACAAAUGCAAAGUCUGAGCUUGGGCAGAAUUGACUCCUAAGAACUGUGGCUACAACAGUAUAAAUUCAGAACGCUCCCUGGGGAAGCUGUGACCUCUACACAUGCCCACAUCUACCAGCUCAAAGGGAGACAUGAGGAGACUUUUUUUACCUCUGCUACCCUCCUUGGGGGAAAAAGAAAUAGAGAAGAAGAAUGUGGAGCUGGUCUGUGUGGCAUCUUCCUCUCCCCUAUCCUUCUUGCUGAGGAAGGAGGACCCAGAUUGCCAAGCUCUGCCCUCUAGCAAGGCCCAAAGCUGUGGGCUCAGUGUGGGGAGGCAAAAAACAGCUUCAGCAACUGGAUCUGAGGCAACGUGGCCAUCCUUUCUCUUCAGAAGGUAGAAUCAAAGGAUAGCUCCACCUUCUAACAAUCCUCCAGGCAGCAGCCAAGUUAGCUUGACAUCUGGAACUUGUUUCUAGGGGUUAUUUCCAGUUGCAGCUGUUUUGGAGGCAGGAUCUGGGUUUUCAGGAGAAAGAGCAGAACACAGUUCACAGAAUUCCAUGCACCAGAGCUAUGGUACUUCGUUGAACUGGAUUUCAAGGUCAAAGGCUUUGCUACCAGGACAUCACAAAUAUGCUAAUUUCAUGUACAAGAUGGAUGAAAUAUCCUCUGGAGAGGAGCCACACUAUGACAAAGGAAUUGCAGCAGGUGUCUUUCACAGAGGGAACAUAAUUGUGAAGCUUGCUGGCAUCCUGCUCGCUCAGUCUCUCCAACACUGGCAGCUGGGUGAGGGGCUGCUGUUAGAAGAGGAAAGGCUUUAGCCCAGCUGUGGCUGGGUGUGUCCACAGCAAAGGAAGCAGCAAUAAAGCAUACAGGACUCUGGUCUGGGGUCCCUGUCCCAUGUCUGUCACCUUGUGCUGUCCCCUAUUCU